CCAGGCUGGCCUCGAACUCCUGACCUUGUGAUCCACCCACCUCAGCCUCCCAAAAUGCUGGGAUUACAGGCAUAAGCCACCACACCUGGCCUUGAAACCAACUUUCAAAAUGUGGUCUUUUUGCAGUACAGCUGGGAUGUCUCUGCCUUCCCCACUUCCCCACCAUGCACCUGUGUAAAGGGGCAGCUUCUGUCUCACAGGUGUAACGGAUUUCUUCCCUGUCUCCCCUUUCUCUUCUGUCAAUGAGUUGUGGGUGGCUGUCAGCUGGAGACCGCUCUCAGGGUCUCAUGCACUGAAUGCAACAUGGACACAAACUUAUGAUAGGGCCAGAUGGGGGACAGCAAGAGGUGAGCACCGGAAAUUGCAUGAGCUAGGAGUCACUGCCUGGUAGUGGGUGAGGGACACGUGAUAGGGACAGUUUAGCAGCUGGAUCAGGGUGGAAAACCAAACCCUGGCAACUGAGCAGUGGCACAGCCCUGCUUCUGUGGGGACAAGUGUCCACUGGCCCUGGCCAGGCUGGCCUCCAGGGGGCAUUGUUGCAAUAUGCGAUCACCCCAAAACACUUCAGCUUGAAGAAGAUCUAGGACACAGUUUGUUGUUACCACCUCAGAGCAUUUAGAUGGGACCUGAUGGGUGGAAUUGAAGCUAAAAACCCAUCCACCAUUUCUAGUUAGUACAGUAAGCUCCUAAUUUACAGAAAUGCUUGGGAAAUUGAGAAUCAUGAUAAAAUCCUCAUCCUUCCUCCUCUUUUGACCAAAUCUUUCUAAAAUGCACAAUUAUAAUUUCUUAUCUUUUAGUACAUAGUAAUUAUGUUAUAUGUGGUAUAUACACUACAUAAAUAUAGUUCAUUAAAUCAUUCUUUGGUGUUUGAAGACUUUCUAAUUCAUUACUUCAUUCCAGACAUCAAUGACAACAGCACGCGUGGAACAGGUACACGUAUGAGCUACCUACUAAUAUGCCCUGGAUUUUGAUUGUAUUUUGUGAAAACCUUGGUAUGGGUUAUUUUUAAAUGAAUGUUUUCCCAAAUUUUAUGCUGAAACUGGGAUGCAUCAAAAUUAGCUUGGUUAUAAUCUUGUCAGUGAUGUCAUCCAGAGGCCACCAGGAACACACCUGUAGCCCAGCAAAGUUGAGGCCAUCGACUGGCUCAUCACAACAAGGAAGGCUGUGCACCACCGGGAGCCAGCAGCAGCUCAGCAGCAGCAGUCAGAGGGCCUUGGGAAAGACUUGGAGGGUUUGGCUUAUAUGAGGUGAUCUUGGGGAGAGUCAAGGAAACAGGUUGUGAUGGAUACUAUUGAGUGUCAACGUGGUUGGAUUGAAGGAUGCAAAAGAUUGUUCCUGGGUGUGCCUGUAGGAGUGUUGCCAAAGGAGAUUAACAUUUGAGUCAGUGGACUGGCAGAGGCAGACUCACCCUUAAACUGGGUGGGCACCAUCUAAUCAGCUGCCACAGCAACUAAAAUAAAGCAGGCAGAAGAAGUUGGAAUAAGCAGACUUGCUGAGUCUUCCAGCCUUCAUCUUUCUCCCAUGCUGGAUGCUUCCUGCCCUUGAACAUCAGACUCCAGGUCCUUCAGCUUUUGGACUCUUGGACUUACACCAGUGGUUUGCCAGGGGCUUCCAGGCCUUUAGCCACAGACUGAAGGCUGCACUGUCAGCCUCUCUACUUUGAAGUUUGGGACUCAGACUGGCUUUUUGGCUCCUCAGCUUGCAGUCGGCCUAUUGUGAGACUUCCCCUUGUGAUCAUACCAGAUUACAGAGGGGUAUUGAUUUGCCUUGCUCCCCGCACGCACCAUCACAGGGUGUCCCUGUCUGGGGUGGGUGCUCUUUGGCAUUGCUUGUGUCCCUAGGAGUCCAUCAAGGCAGAGCUGCAAGUACCAGAUCAGCUUCCAGGUCUUCCAGGCUGCAUGUCCCCCUCAAUGUCCUUUCAGCCCAAUAGAAAUGGAUUGAGAGAGUGAAAGUCACUGAUCUCAAAGAAUCUACAGAAUUCAGCAUUUUGAAAAUCACAUAGCAAUCUGGGGUAGGCAUUUACAUGCGCUAAUAAACCAGGCAAACAUCCGACUCCCAGGAUAAAGUGACGGAGAGCAGUAGAAGGCUUGUUGAGCCUUAAGGAAUAAGGGGAAAAUCAUGCUAUGAAGUGCAGGACCAGCACAGACCCAGAGGAGGGGAUGCAGCCUGGGGCCAGCAACCCGGCGCCUCCUUCUCCCCAGGAUGCAGUGCUGACUGAUCCCCGGAUGUCCGUGGUCCCACGUCCCAGGUCCUGAGAGCCCUUCAAAGGUGGACAGUUCUUUGGGAAUUUUAGGACGCAGCACUUGAAGAGAGAUUUACCUAAACUUUCCUCCUGGGAGCCCGUGAUCAUUUGAAAGUAACAGAAGAGAGUUGUCAGGCUGAGCAAACAGUUUCAACAGGCACUUGGUGAGAAUGGGAAGCAUCCUUUCAUUGUGAAAUCGUGGGGACAGAGGAGGAAUUCACGGGAUCAGAGCACUGAGAAACUCCAGAGGCUUCUGGUUCACCUCCCUGAUUCCACAGAUGAGGAUCAGAGGCAGAGGUGGACGUUGGAAUGGACAAGCCUGCCCACUCCUCGGCUCUCCAUGGCUCUGUGCUUAGUCUGUUUCUGCAAUUUGACAUGAGGCCUGGCCCUCGGGAAAGCAGCAGGGCCUCAUCUCCUCCCUGUGCUGCUCUGAGGUGGAGCCUUCUCAGGGUCAGCCCAGCUCUGGAGCACCUCUCCAGCUGGGUUACCGAAGCUGUCUGGUCCCAGGGCGGUGCUGAGUGACAGGCACGCCAGCCAAUCCAAUUGGCCAUUUCAUACCUAAUGCAUCUAACUGAUAAAGAUUUAACGCCCUGUCUCCAAGACAUAGGCUUUACAUAAACAGCUUUAAGGACCUCUUCACUUAGAGACCAGACUCCUUAGUGGUGGAACCUCAGGCAUCCGUGCAGGAUGUAAGAAAACUCCCAUAUACACGUGAACUGAGAAGUGUGUAGAAGAAUAAAUACUGUAAUAGGUAAUAAAAUGUAUGUAUUGUUAUUUAUAUGCUACUUUCUCUUUCUCCCUCUCUCUGUGUAUAUACAUACAUACAAAAAUGUAUUCAUUCUAUGGAAAACAUGAAAGAUGUAAUAUUCUUUACAUCUGAAAUUUUAAUUAAUGUAUUUUUUCUGAUCAUAUGAACACCACAAAUAUAAUUUUAUAAUGUUUUUACUUAACAAUAAGUCUUAAACAUAAAUACACACUGACAAUAUCAUAGUUUUUUUUAAAAAAAAAUCAUAAUUAAAAUGGUUGCAAAACA